AUGCCGUUUCACCAUCAGGCUUUGGAACAUGGUCAUUGCAAGAUAUGGGCUUGUGCACAUGGAUACCACCGUUUGGCAUCUUCACGAGUCGAUUGGUGGGAUAGGAGAACCGACAUGACAAAUCCUAACAGGAGAGCUAUGGCCUCCCUCACCAUGCUAGUGUCGUCGACUAUAUGGAACGAGCAUAAUGCUAGGAUCUUCAGGCACAAGAGCGCGCCGCCCCUGAUCCUCCUUAAAAUAGUUACCGAUGAGGCUAGCCUCUGGGUUACUGCCGGUGCUAAGAAACUUGGGAAAAUUGUAUUAAGCAAGUAA
rnacentral:rRNA from 1 species